CAACAGGAGACUCCGCCCAUGAGCAGUCAGCCAGGAAACUGGAGACUGAAAAAUAAAAAACAGCAGAAGCAGAGAACGGGGACAUGACAAGAUAAAGCAAAAUCAAAUAAAAUUGGCUCAAUUCAUCUCUGCAGUCGCAUGUGUGCACAGACAUCUGAUAGCACUGUCAGAUGGCAUACAACCGGGACCACCACCCAUGCUGGAGUUUGAAUUUAUGUUUUGAUGCUGGUUGAAGUGACUUCCAGUGAGCUAGACUCUGGAUGUUUCAAGAGAUUAAGCAUGUCUGUCAUGUUUGGUAACACACGUCACGUAUGUGUAACACUAACAAUGAGUGAGGAGGAUAUUCUCCAACCUGUGAGGUGAUGACAGGAGGAUCUAGAGUGAUGGAUGUAAAGCUGCGUGCUGACACAGUUACGCCCCCAGACAGUGUCAUCUAAUGAUCUGUGACAUAUCAGCCACUUCCGCUAUAGCUUUUAUCGUCUGCUAAUCACAAUAGUGCCCUAAAGGUCGCUAUGUUGGAUAGAUUCCAGGCAGUGGCAGAGAUAUCAAGGGUCAAAGAAGGCAAAGAAAAAGCAUGUAUUGUCUGUCAUUCUUAUUGCUGUCUUUACUGAUAAAAUUAUACAUGAGGU